CCCUUAGAUGUCCUGGGCCGCACGCGUGCUACACUGACGCCUACAGCGAGUACUUCCCAGCCCCGAGAGGUGGCUGGUAAUCAGCAAUAGGCGUCGUGAUGGGGAUAGAUCUUUGGAAUUAUGGAUCUUGAACGAGGAAUGCCUAGUAAGCGCAGGUCAUUAGCCUGCGUUGAUUAAGUCCCUGCCCUUUGUACACACCGCCCGUCGCUCCUACCGAUUUCGAGUGGUCCGGUGAAUCUUUCGGACUGCGCGCGGCUUCGUGCCGUGUCGCGGAAAGUCAGGUAAACCUUAUCACUUAGAGGAAGGUGAAGUCGUAACA
rnacentral:rRNA from 1 species